rnacentral:rRNA from 1 species
UACAGAGGUCUCAAGCGUUGUUCGGAUUCAUUGGGCGUAAAGGGUGCGUAGGCGGCGCGGUAAGUCGGGUGUGAAAUCUCGGGGCUUAACUCCGAAACUGCAUUCGAUACUGCCGUGCUUGAGGACUGGAGAGGAGACUGGAAUUUACGGUGUAGCGGUGAAAUGCGUAGAUAUCGUAAGGAAGACCUGCGGCGAAGGCGGGUUGCUGGGCUGACACUGACGCUGAUGCGCGAAAGCCAGGGGAGCGAACGGG